UACGGAGGGUGCAAGCGUUAAUCGGAAUUACUGGGCGUAAAGAGUGCGUAGGUGGUUGAAUAAGUUAUCUGUGAGAUCCCUGGGCUUAACCUGGGCAGGUCAGAUGAUACUGUUUGACUCGAGUAUGGGAGAGGGUAGUGGAAUUUCCGGUGUAGCGGUGAAAUGCGUAGAGAUCGGAAGGAACACCAGUGGCGAAGGCGGCUACCUGGCCUAAUACUGACACUGAGGCACGAAAGCGUGGGGAGCAAACAGG
rnacentral:rRNA from 1 species